GGGAAUGUGGCUUAGUGGUAGAGUGCUUGCUUUCCAUGCAUGAAGCUGGGGUUCGAUUCCUCAGUACCA
rnacentral:tRNA from 1 species